UAGGGAAUCUUGCGCAAUGGGCGAAAGCCUGACGCGGCGACGCCGCGUGAGGGAAGAAGGCCUUCGGGUUGUAAACCUCUUUACAGGAGGGACGAAGCCACUCGGGUUAAUAGCCCAGAGGGUGACGGUACCUCCAGAAGAAGCCCCGGCUAACUACGUG
rnacentral:rRNA from 1 species